UGCACCACACCAUGAACAUCUGGCUGUUCUUGCUGUUUGUUGCGGGGAGCUUCGCCCUCUUGGGUUUCUCGGAGGCUGUCCCUCAGGUACCACGUGGUCAAGACUCUCCAGGGACCCUCAGCGCCUCUCGGAGGAUGGGUAACGGAAUGGGAGGAGGUCGAAGUCAAGGCAAAAGAAAAAUGGGAUAGGCUUGUAGUGCCCAGAUUUCAAUAUGUUCAAGUAACAAGGGAUAUACGGUCUUCUAUGGAUUGGAUACACACCUUUGAAAUUUGAAUUAAAGUUACAGACUUGUUUAAAUCGUUUCGUUUACUGGUAUCGUGAAAAUUAAAUAGGUAAUAGUUGUUUAUGAUAGGAAUAUACUCAAACAUAUUGUUUAUUGAAAAAAAGAGAACAGUUUUAUGUAUCUAAUAUAAUAGAAUAUUAAUUAUAUCAAAGUUAUUUAGCCUAACACUAUUUCAGUUUUCUAAGUUACAUUUUUAGCAAGAUUAGGAUUCCUUUAUGUAAAAAAAAUAAAACAUUCUGACAAAUCUCA